AUAAUAUGAAAAUACAAAUAACGAAUCAUAGUACAUGCAAUAGCAAUAAUCAUACAACAUUUAAAUGAUAACAUUGAUAAAUAAGGGCCAAUGAAUUAAAUGAUAAAAAGGUAUAAAACAAAUUAAAAUAAAUAAAGUGUACCAAAUUUUAGAAUGGUAAUAAAUGAAUUUAAAAUAAGUAAUGUAAAAUAUAUAUAUAUAUUUUAAAAUCCAUAACCACACAAAGUAGAAAUUUUUAAAAAAAAUGAAUAAAUGUAGCAAAUAGAAACAAUGUUUAAUUUAGCUAUAGAAAAGAAGAUAAUAAAUAAAUAGCACAUAAAUAAGAAAAUUAGCCAAAUGAAUGACUAAAUUUUAAAAACAAAGUAGUUUCGAAAUUAUGUCAAAGUAUAUAAGUAGACACAUGAUGAAUAAGAUAUAUAUAUAUACAAGAUUUUAGGUAGACAACUAUGUAUAUAUAAAAGUAAUAGCAAUAAUAUUACAAGACCGAUUAAUUUAAUAAUAUAAUAACAAGACAAAUAAAUAAGAAAAACAAAAAGAGAAAUAAUAAUGAUAAUGAUAAUAAUAAUAAUAAUAAUAAUUAAUUUGAUAAUAAAAUAGUCCAGAACCACAAAGAAAAGACUAAAUUGAAAUUUAAAUACAAAAAUUGGGGUGAAUUUAAAAAAAACAAUGAGCUGAUUUGAAAGGACUAGAAAGGAUGAGGGACCAUUUGUACAAUUUUUCCCAAAAGCAAAAACAUGCAGACCAUGGAGUUAGUGGCAUGGUUUCAUUAAUUAUUAAAAACUAAAAAAAUUGAAUGGUCAUGUGCCAUUUUAUACUAGCAGCAAAAUAGACCACCCCUCCCUUUUAUCCCUUUUGUUUGGUUUUGACCUCAACCUUGGAGCGCCACCGCACCACCCUCGGACUUGGUGCCGACCACGCGCAGAAAGGACACGACGAGAGGCCGGAGGUAAGUAUUAUUCUUCCUUUUUAUUCUCUUUUGAAACUGGUUUUCUUUUUUUCUUUUCCGUUUGGUACAUAUUUUUUCCUUUCCCCCUUCUCCCUUUGGAGUUCGAAAUCGAUGAGGGAGGGAGGAGUUCCAGCGACGUGAUUCGGUAAGUCCCUUUCCCCUCCCUUUUUAUUUUUCAUAUUUAUGUAAAAAAACAAAAAUAAAAAAAUAAACUUAAGAUUAAAUAAAUAAUACGAAAAUCACCUUAAAACUUUAAAUCUUUUGCUUUUCUAUUCCAAAUUUUCGGAAGAAAAACCAGAAACCCCCCUGAACAAAGAUGAGAUUCUGGCUUUUAAAGCCAUUUACAAGAUGAUUUAUUCCUAUUUUUUUGUCGUUUUCUUCCUCGUUUUUAUUGCUUGCGUGCGAAUCUUUCUUUGCAGGUGACAGAUGAGUGUCAGGCGCAUGGAGGGCUGGUGGUUGGUGCCCCGAACUGUGGUGGUGGCGCGCGUGAUGGCCAAGGCUGAAAACUUGGUGGCUAGGGUUAGUUGCUGAAAAAUUUUAAGAUAGUGGGCUGGGGCUGAUUUGGGCUCUGUAAUUGGGUCUAGAGUUUGGUUUUGGGUCGGGCAUAUUUGGGCCUCUACAGUUCUUAGAGGAGGUUAAGAGGAUGAGAAUUAGAGUAAUUAAAAUCAAUUAUACUCAAAAUUCAAUUACCCUGUAACUUUCCAAACAUAUUUGUAUUUGAUUUAAAUUUUAAAAUUUAUUCUAAAAUUUAAUUAUAUGUUGUUUUACUAAUCUUGUUUAAAAAAUCUAACAUUUUUAUUAAUGAGAGAGAAUUUUUU
rnacentral:lncRNA from 1 species